rfam:Xanthomonas oryzae pv. oryzae KACC10331, complete genome.
AUGCUACUCGACCGCUCGUGCACGGCGGCUUGUGAGCGCCGUCCGCAUCCACCUGCCAACUGCUCGCUACGAUUCGGAAGCC